UACGUAGGGUGCAAGCGUUGUCCGGAAUUAUUGGGCGUAAAGAGCUCGUAGGCGGCUUGUCGCGUCGUCCGUGAAAACCUGCAGCUCAACUGCAGGCUUGCGGGCGAUACGGGCAGGCUAGAGUUCGGUAGGGGAGACUGGAAUUCCUGGUGUAGCGGUGAAAUGCGCAGAUAUCAGGAGGAACACCGAUGGCGAAGGCAGGUCUCUGGGCCGAUACUGACGCUGAGGAACGAAAGCGUGGGGAGCGAACAGG
rnacentral:rRNA from 1 species